rnacentral:rRNA from 1 species
AUUGUUCCACUACAAGAUGGACCUGCGUUGUAUUAACUAGUAGGUGAGGUAAUGGCUCACCUAGGCGACGAUACAUAGCCGACCUGAGAGGGUGAUCGGCCACACUGGGACUGAGACACGGCCCAGACUCCUACGGGAGGCAGCAGUAGGGAAUCUUCGGCAAUGGGGGGCAACCCUGACCGAGCAACGCCGCGUGAGUGAAGAAGGUUUUCGGAUCGUAAAGCUCUGUUGUAAGUCAAGAACGGGUGUGAGAGUGGAAAGUUCACACUGUGACGGUAGCUUACCAGAAAGGGACGGCUAACUACGUGCCAGCAGCCGCGGUAAUACGUAGGUCCCGAGCGUUGUCCGGAUUUAUUGGGCGUAAAGCGAGCGCAGGCGGUUUGAUAAGUCUGAAGUUAAAGGCUGUGGCUCAACCAUAGUUCGCUUUGGAAACUGUCAAACUUGAGUGCAGAAGGGGAGAGUGGAAUUCCGAUGUGUAGCGGUGAAAUGCGUAGAUAUAUGGAGGAACACCGGUGGCGAAAGCGGCUCUCUGGUCUGUUAACCG